rnacentral:rRNA from 1 species
CCAACAGGGAUUGCCUCAGUAGCGGCGAGUGAAGCGGCAAGAGCUCAGAUUUGAAAUCUCACCUAGUGUGCGAGUUGUAAAUUGCAGGUUGGAGUCUCGGGUUAGACGUGUGUGCAAGUCCCUUGGAACAGGGUGCCACUGAGGGUGAGAGCCCCGUAGCGUGCAUGUCGACACCUGUGAGGCCCUUCUGACGAGUCGAGUUGUUUGGGAAUGCAGCUCUAAGUGGGUGGUAAAUUCCAUCUAAGGCUAAAUAUUGGCGAGAGACCGAUAGCGAACAAGUACUGUGAAGGAAAGAUGAAAAGCACUUUGAAAAGAGAGUGAAACAGCACGUGAAAUUGUUGAAAGGGAAGGGUAUUGGGCUCGACAUGGGAUUUACGCAUCGUUGCCUCUCGUGGGCGGCGCUCUGGGUUUUUCCUGGGCCAGCAUCGGUUUUCGUUGCAGGAUAAGGACAAUUGGAAUGUGGCUCCUCGGAGUGUUAUAGCCUUUUGUAGAUGCUGCGUAUGGGGACCGAGGGCUGCGGCGGACUCGUUUCGUCUCGGAUGCUGGCACAACGGCGCAAUACCGCCCGUCUUGAAAAACGGAAACCAAAAA